GUUGGUUUUGUUUUCCACUUGGUUUCAAGUUCUGCAGACAAAGCUAGAGCUGGAAAGGAUACUUUGCUUCAAAGAAGAAAUCAGUAUGAACUUCCAAGCUAAAAGAAAGGCUAAACCAGAUUAGAUGAGCAGAACAUAAAGGCAGUGAUGAUCUGCUGAAGGGGUAUGGCUACAAGUGGACUGAAUUUGUGGAUUCUGUGAGACAAGAGUAGAAGAUAAAAGGAAGAGCUGCCUAAAUACUCUAAGAAAGAAGCCUCAGUGCUGGUGGUGUUUUCCAAAGCUGCCCUACAUUCCAUCCCUGGCAGUCAGAACUGCUCUGUGGCCCCAACAUGUGGCACCACCAUGACCCAGGUGAAGGCUACA